UAUGUAGGGGGCAAGCGUUGUCCGGAGUUACUGGGCGUAAAGCGCACGCAGGCGGUCUCUUAAGUUUGGAGUGACAGUUGGUGGCUUAACUGCCAAAGUGCUUCGAAAACUGAGAGACUUGAGGGCUUCAGAGGGACACGGAAUUCCGGGUGGAGUGGUGAAAUGCGUAGAGAUCCGGAGGAACACCAAAGGCGAAGGCAGUGUCCUGGGGAGUACCUGACGCUCAGGUGCGAAAGCCAGGGGAGCGAACGGG
rnacentral:rRNA from 1 species